GAUGAAGAACGCAGCAAAAUGCGAUACUUGGUGUGAAUUGCAGAAUCCCGUGAACCAUCGAGUUUUUGAACGCAAGUUGCGCCCGCAGCCUUUUGGCCGAGGGCACGUCUGCCUGGGCGUCACGCAUCGCGUCGCCCCCCACAAUUCUCCGUAAAGGGAACGUGUGUUUUGGGGGCGGAUAUUGGUCUCCCGUGCUCAUGGCGUGGUUGGCCGAAAUAGGAGUCCUUUCGAUGGACGCACGAACUAGUGGUGGUCGUAAAAACCCUCGUCUUUUGUUUCGUGCUGUUGCUCGCAAGGUAAACUCUUUAAAAACCCCAAUGUGUCGUCUCUUGACGACGCUUCGACCGCGACCCCAGGUCAGGCGGGACUACCCGCUGAGUUUAAGCAUAUCAAUAAGCGGAGGA
rnacentral:misc_RNA from 1 species